UCAACGGCUGGCCCGCGCCGGACAUGGGCCCGGCCCUCGAGUGGCUGAUCGCCGGCCUGCGCGCCGGCUGAGGCGAUCCCCCCGCCCCCGCCGUCC
rnacentral:tRNA from 1 species